rnacentral:rRNA from 1 species
AAAGCGUGGGAACCUACCCAUUGGGUUCGGAAUAAACCCAGGGAAACUUGGGCUAAUACCGGAUACGUCGGAAACGAGAAAGAUUUAUCGCCGAUGGAUGGGCCCGCGUCGGAUUAGCUGGUUGGUGGGGUAAUGGCCUACCAAGGCAACGAUCCGUAGCUGGUCUGAGAGGAUGAUCAGCCACACUGGGACUGAGACACGGCCCAGACUCAUUACGGGAGGCAGCAGUGGGGGAAUAUUUGGACAAUGGGCGCAAGCUGAUCCCAGCCCAUGCCGCGUGAGUGAAGAAGGCCUUAGGGUUGUAAAGCUCUUUCAGCGGGGAAGAUAAUGACGGUACCCGCAGAAGAAGCCCCGGCUAACUUCGUGCCAGCCGCCGCGG